rnacentral:rRNA from 1 species
GGCUCAGACAGCCAGGAUGUUGGCUUAGAAGCAGCCAUCAUUUAAAGAAAGCGUAAUAGCUCACUGGUCGAGUCGGCCUGCGCGGAAGAUUUAACGGGGCUAAGCUAUACACCGAAGCUGCGGCAAUGUGAAUUUAUUCACAUUGGGUAGGGGAGCGUUCUGUAAGCCGUUGAAGGUGCAUUGUAAAGUGUGCUGGAGGUAUCAGAAGUGCGAAUGCUGACAUGAGUAACGAUAAAGGGAGUGAAAAACUCCCUCGCCGGAAGAUCAAGGGUUCCUGUCCAACGUUAAUCGGGGCAGGGUAAGUCGACCCCUAAGGCGAGGCCGAAAGGCGUAGUCGAUGGGAAACGGGUUAAUAUUCCCGUACUUCUUAUAAUUGCGAUGGAGGGACGGAGAAGGCUAGGUGAGCCUGGCGACGGUUGUCCAGGUCCAAGUAUGUAGGCUGAUGGUUUAGGCAAAUCCGGACCAUCUUAAGGCUGAGAUACGAUGUCGAGCUACUACGGUAGUGAAGUCAUUGAUGCCAUGCUUCCGGGAAAAGCUUCUAAGCGUCAGAUUAUAAGAAAUCGUACCCCAAACCGACACAGGUGAUCAGGUAGAGAAUACCAAGGCGCUUGAGAGAACUCGGGUGAAGGAACUAGGCAAAAUGGUACCGUAACUUCGGGAGAAGGUACGCUC